CCUUAUUACGUCUCAGCUCCUCCUUUUAUUUUCUUGUCCAUCAGUUUUAUUUACAAUUCUAUCAACUCUUCCUAAAGUCAUAUAUUUUCUUUCUUCUUGAUUUUUAUUUUGCAGUUUUGGAGAACAUGAACAGUUCACAAUAAACUAUAUUAUUUUGUUGUACUCUAAUCUAUUUGGAAAUAUAAAAUAGAAGUGUUACUCCUCAUGUUUCUCCUUUAUUAAUUCCGGUGACAACUCCACCGACUCUUCUAUCAAUCACAUCCCUUCUCUCCUCCUCAUAAUUCUUAUCAUUUACUUCUUAAAAAGAUGAACAAUUCACAUGUUAAAAUGAAAUAUUUGGUGUAUUCUAUUCUAUUUGAAAAACAUAGAAUACAAAUAUUUAUCUUUCUUCUCUUUCUUUUCCAUCAACUUUGGUAACAACUUCACUAACUACUCAUUCCCCUCUUUCUCUUCAUCUUCCUCUUCGCGUUCCUCUUUCUUCGGAGCCAACUCUACCACUCCUCGUGCAUAUGUUUCUCGGUGCUAACUCUCAAACUUUUUAUAGCUGUUUUUUUUCUCGCAGCGAGUAAAAUUGGUUGUAGUGAUUAGGGAAAAAUUUCUAAAACGAGGAAUCGAAAGAGACCAAAGAAUAAUGAAAAUGCAAAAAUAUUUUGUUUCAUACUACAUGUCUAAUAAAUAUAGUAUAGUAUAAUUAAUAUAAUGCAUUUGUCAGACGUUCACGUGCAGAGAAGAAGAAAGUGGUCCAUAUUUGUGUCAAAUUGUCACAUCGAAAACUCUUCUUUAUUACAUGGUUAUUUGCUUGAUAUUUUUUCUCAAUAUAGACAUUCUACCAAUUCAACCUUAUUAAUAUACACAAUUCAUUUAUCACGUUUGGAAGUAGAGUACAUCAUUUGGUGAAAACAAAUAUGAAAAAUAUACUUGGAAUCAACAAUGAAGAUGGAGACAAAUGCAAUUAGAGUUGAUAGAGUCAAAGCCAUAACUCAAGGUUAGGAGUAAAAAAAUUCUUAUGAACUUGUGGGAAAGAUGUUAUUUACCAUUAGUUUCCAAUUAAAAUAAAGGGAAAAUUGUUUUUUUAAACAAAAAAAAUAGAUUCAUUGUCCCAUUAGGCUAAUCUUAUAUUAGAAUUGUCUCGUUAGGUUAAUAAUUUUCAAAACCCCAGUAAUACCCUUGGAUAAUCAAAUUAAGAAAUCAAUUAUGAAAUAUUAAAAAUGGGAAAAAUAAUUAAAACUAAUUAAAAUAGAAUAAAAAAUUAGAAACCUCCAAUCCCUUAUUUUGUCGAUCUCUUCAUCUCCAACAAUCUCUCUCUCGUAAGGCGACACAAGCUCUUGAUCUCGGUGGUGCGACGACGACAUGGUCAAGAUCUAGGCUAAUCCGGCCAAAGUCUCUUCUUCUUCGGUCACUGGAUUCCUUCAACCUUCUGCUCCGCCUAGAGUUUACAAUCCCCGCGCUCCUCAUUGCGCCCAUGGAUAUCAAACCGUUCCAGGCAUAGCUUCUCUUUACUGAGUUCGAUGUGCUGAUUCAGUUUUUACAGAUUUCAAUUUUAGUGAAAUUGAUGACUAUCAUGAAUUACUUCAAGAGGUUGCCGUAAGACCCACCUGCUGGAAUUAGCGGUGCUCCUCAAGACAACAACAUCAUGCUCUGUAAUGCUGUUAUAUUCGGGCCUGAUGAUUCACCAUGGGAUGGAGUUAAGGUUUUUGCUAUUGUAAUCACUUAUCUUUAGAUUUUAGUAAUAGUCAAUAUCUUUCCUUGUAUGAUUUUUUCUACGUACGUUCUACUUCCCUUUUACAUGGAUCUUUGAUCUCCAUUUUUAAGUGUUGGUGUUCUUGAUAGGACCACAUUGGCUGAACGAUCACUCUUUAAUUUUUAAAUCACAGCCAUUGCUCUGUGAUCCUAAUCCGAGUUCUCCUGCAAACUCGGAAGCUGCACGAAUGUUCAGCGAAAGCAAACGCGAGUACAACAGAUGAGUAUGCGAGUCUUGUGUUUGAUUCCACCAACACUUCUCCCUCUCCGUUUUUUUUUCAUCUUUUUGUGUUUUCAAAGUUUGUGAUUUGUUUCUCUUAUUGUUUCUGUGUUUCCAUGUAUUAUCUUAACCAUAUUCAUCUUUAUAAUGAUCAUUUGUAGAUUAAAAACACAGUUCUU